GCUCACACACAUUCCUCCUCCACAUUGUCUCUGUGCUUCAAGUCGAGCUUUCCAGCAUUCAUGCCCUUCUAUGAACCUGUUUUUGUUUCCGAGACGGCCUGUUCCAUGCCUGGAAACAGAAUGUGGGGCAAAACCAUCAGUCUCCAAGCAGAUAGUUCUACAGAUCCAGGCCAACGAUUGUCCCCGUCCUGUCACAAGCAGAGAAAAACCUCAGAUAAAUGAGGAGCAACCACUCGUCCUGAGCGUGUUCAGGCUGUACUUUAGUCUUUUUUUUUUUAGCAGGGCUGCAGCAAUGGGUGCAAAAAAUACAUGGCCUGAUUACUGAUAUGUCUAUUGCUUGCAUUGCUUUGUACACUUUGCUUGUUUUUCAUUAAUAAAUCGCAGAUGCAUGCAGAAUUCAGCUGUAGAAGAUCAAA